UGGGAGGCUUUGAAGUGUGGACGCCAGUCUGCAUGGAGCCGACCUUGAAAUACCACCCUUUAAUGUUUGAUGUUCUAACGUGGGCCCCUUACCGGGGUUGCGGACAGUGUCUGGUGGGUAGUUUGACUGGGGCGGUCUCCUCCUAAAGAGUAACGGAGGAGCACGAAGGUUGGCUAAUCCUGGUCGGACAUCAGGAGGUUAGUGCAAUGGCAUAAGCCAGCUUGACUGCGAGCGUGACGGCGCGAGCAGGUGCGAAAGCAGGUCAUAGUGAUCCGGUGGUUCUGAAUGGAAGGGCCAUCGC
rnacentral:rRNA from 1 species